rnacentral:rRNA from 1 species
UACGGAGGGUGCAAGCGUUGUCCGGAAUCACUGGGCGUAAAGGGCGCGUAGGCGGCUCAUGAAGGCUGUGGUGAAAGUCCGGGGCUCAACCUCGGAUCGGCCGUGGCGACUCGUGGGCUGGAGCACUGUAGAGGCGGGUGGAAUUCCGCGGUGUAGCAGUGAAAUGCGUAGAUAUGCGGAGGAACACCGAUGGCGAAGGCAAUCCCCUGGACCUGUACUGACGCUCAUGCACGAAAGC